AACGAACGCUGGCGGCGUGCCUAACACAUGCAAGUCGAACGAGAAAGGGAUUUCGGUCCUGAGUAAAGUGGCGCACGGGUGAGUAACACGUAGGUAACCUGCCUCCAAGAUUGGGAUAACCUGUCGAAAGACGGGCUAAUACCGAAUAAGACCACAGCUCCUUCGGGAGCAGGGGUCAAAGGUAGCCUCUACUUGUAAGCUAUCACUUGGAGAUGGGCCUGCGCACCAUUAGCUAGUUGGUGGGGUAACGGCCUACCAAGGCAAAGAUGGUUAGCUGGUCUGAGAGGAUGAUCAGCCAAACUGGAACUGAGACACGGUCCAGACUCCUACGGGAGGCAGCAGUGGGGGAUAUUGCGCAAUGGGCGAAAGCCUGACGCAGCAACGCCGCGUGAGUGAUGAAGGCCUUCGGGUCGUAAAGCUCUGUCGGAGGGAACGAAUGCUCUCGAGGUUAAUAGCCUCGGGAAGUGACGGUACCUUCAAAGGAAGCACCGGCUAACUCUGUGCCAGCCGCCGCAGUAAGAC
rnacentral:rRNA from 1 species